GUCGCCGGCGGCUGACGGGACCCGGGGCCGGGCCCGAGGUCCGAUGGCGGAGGGCGGCGGCCCCGCAGGACGGGCAGGGCCGGGGCCCGCAGGUCCCAAUCUGAAGGAGUGGCUGCGGGAGCAGUUUUGUGACCAUCCGCUGGAGCACUGUGAGGACACGAGGCUCCACGACGCAGCCUAUGUGGGGGACCUGCAGACCCUCCGGAGCCUGCUGCAGGAGGAGAGCUACCGGAGUCGCAUCAAUGAGAAGUCUGUCUGGUGUUGUGGCUGGCUCCCGUGCACGCCUCUGCGAAUUGCAGCCACAGCAGGCCACGGGAACUGCGUGGAUUUCCUCAUCCGCAAAGGGGCCGAGGUGGACCUGGUGGAUGUCAAGGGGCAGACUGCCCUGUAUGUGGCUGUGGUGAACGGGCACCUGGAGAGUGCACAGAUCCUUCUGGAAGCUGGUGCCGACCCGAAUGGAAGCCGGCAUCACCGCAGUACCCCGGUGUACCAUGCCUCUCGAGUGGGCAGGGCUGACCUACUGAAGGCUCUCAUCAGAUAUGGGGCCGACGUUGAUAUCAAUCACCACCUGACUCCUGACGCCCAGCCCCCUUUCUCAAGGCGGCUCACCUCUUUGGUGGUCUGCCCCCUGUACAUCAGCGCAGCCUACCACAACCUGCAGUGUUUCAGGCUGCUCCUGCAGGCAGGGGCAAAUCCUGACUUCAACUGCAAUGGCCCCGUCAACACGCAGGAGUUCUACCGGGGCUCUCCUGCGUGUGUCAUGGAUGCUGUCCUGCGUCACGGCUGUGAGGCAGCCUUUGUGAGUCUUCUGGUAGAGUUUGGAGCCAACCUGAACCUGGUGAAGUGGGAAUCACUGGGCCCAGAGUCCAGGGGUAGAAGGAAGGCGGACCCGGAGGCCUUGCAGGUCUUUAAAGAGGCCAGAAGUGUACCCAGGACCUUGCUGAGUUUGUGCCGCGUGACUGUGAGAAGAGCUCUUGGCAAAUACCGACUUCACUUGAUUCCCUCGCUACCUCUGCCAGACCCCAUAAAGAGGUUCCUUCUCCAUGAGUAGAGUUCAGCUGUGGUGGCUUACUGCAGUGAAGAAGAGGCCACUCUGCCGGAAGGGUUGACACCGCUGGCUCGUGAGCCACGUCCUGUGCUGCCACCUGUCCUUAGCUGUUGGAGAAGCAGAAAUGGCCUUGUCCUUGUGGAUUGUAAUCCUCUCUCAGAAAAGAGUUUAAAGGCAGAAUGCUUGCUUGGUCGUGAUCAUGGGGAAGCUUGAGCGACCCACAGGUGCACCAGCCAUGCUGGAGGGGCUGUUAGCUGUUAGGCCAGAGUACUUGUUGAACAGGUAAUGAGCCAUUUUCUGAUGUUGACUGUGUUUGUUGUCAGACUUGGGGUGUGUGUGUGCGUGUGUGUGCGUGCAUGUGCGAGUGCGCGUGUGCGUGUGCUGGCACCAGGGCUUGGGCUCAGUAGCUUUUUCUCCUUUAGCUCGGCACUACUACUUGAACUCCAUCUCCACCUCCCUCUCUGUUCCAGGCAUUCAUGUGCCAUCUGGAGUCUUCCCAUAAAAGUUCAUGAAAGAAGCAGCGGCACACAACAGAAAGCAAGCGUGCUCCUGCCUGUGCGCUGCUGCUGCCUCCUGCCUUCAGGGCGCAGGGAGCACUUUCCACUGUGUCUCUCACACUUCUUUUUUUUUUUU